GAAGGCUUAUUAUUUCCAACCACUAAGCAUGUCCCUGCCCUAAAAGGGAGGAAGGAGGAGUUUCAGGGGGCUGUCCUUUAUAAAACAAAGUCAUUUUUUUCAGAAGAAAGUUGAAUGCAAUUGACCACCAGAUGGGAUGUUGUAGCAAUGAAGUAACGAUGUUGAAAUAUGUUCCUGCUGAACACGAGUCAUCUAGAGGGGAAGACCGGCUUGAUUGUGAGUAACAAUUCAAAACUCUCUUAAAGUCUUCCUACAUUUGAUCAGUGGGAUGAACAGCGGAGAUGUCGAAUUUGGGUGCCACAGCUUAAAUUGGCUAAUUUUCCAUGUUGAGACGAAAUAAAUUGUAUGACAGACCAGUCAAUUAUUUUGCAUUAAUGAUAGAUCUCCAGUCUAUAACAGGACUUGAACAUGGGGAAACUUUACCCAUUUCGCUGCUGUAGUAACUGACGUUGUGUCUUGUACGAGAUGAUUACACUUUGAAGAGCCUUGGAAACAUCAUGAAUUAUUCCUUAACAUGUGUGUCCCACUUUGCACUACAAUGCAAGUUAUGACUAUUCCGAAUUUUGGAACUCUUGUGACCAGCAGCUGGAGAAGAGUUAAUUUCCUGGAUUCAAACUCAGGCCACGGAAGUGUUGGCAUGUUCCAAUGAAAGGAUAAUGCUGUGACAUCUACACCACUCUCCCCCACCUCAGCCAGUAUAAUGAUUUCCUCUAAAUUACCUAUUGUAUCUCAGUAAGCAAAACAUUUUUAAAUUGUCAAUCGCUUUUUUUUGUGUCUGCAUCAGCAAUCAAUAACUGAAAUUAUUUACCAAUCUAGUCAAAAUAGAAUGCCAUCUGAAAACUCAUGAGCAUGAGUGGGCUUUCAAUAUUAUGAUUGUAAAUAGAAGAGAGGAGGUCCAGAUUACUGAUGUGGUAUCUUACGAUGUUUUAAGUAGGAUUUAGAAACAAAUACUUUUUCAUACUUCCCCGCGAAUCCUAAGCAAUGAGCUAUGACAUAUGGGGCUGAAUGUUCCUAGCAACAGUGGGAAGCUUGAAGGCAAGGUGCAGGUCAGGAAAUUGGGGGAAAACCCCUUUGGGCCGAUACCCAUUGCAUUUCUGCUUUCAGCAGCAGCCAAUUGAAAUCACUAAAACUCCAAUUAGGAGUGGUUUUGCGGCCUAACCAAUCUUUUGCCAGAACAGCGUGGCAUCGUGGUGAUGAUGAGAGGGCACAAUGAAGGCAGUGUCCCUUGAGAGGCUGAGGGCAGGCCCUAAUUGGAGGCUUCACACUCCAGUGACAUUAUCCGUGGUCAGGAGAAACUGCACCUAGGGCCCAAACUACUUAUUAGCCAGCAGCAGCACAUCUCCACUAUGAAGGUCCUGACAGCUUCAUUCUGCAGAAUGUUUUAUGUGCAUUCGUGUUUGCUAUGGGGGUCUCCAACCUGCCUCAGUGACACCCACCUCUCUUGGUGGGGCUGUCAAUCCAGGUAUUCUGUUUGGGUCUGUAGCAUUGAGACCCUGCCUACUGAUCUGAAUGGCACAGUGAAAUGGCUCAUUACUGGGUACUGCUGGUAAAUGCAGACUUGGGACCGCAAUUUGUUCCUGACAAUGUGGUCCCAAAGCCUCAGGAAAGCUCAGCCAAUAUCACAGAUUAGCAAUGAGUAAAAGAGGGUCUGAGAUAAAUCAGCAUAUGGCAAUCGAGAGCCAGAAUGAUAUCUUGAACUCUUAGAUCUAGAGAAGGAAGGGAAGUAAAUAAUUCCUGAGUACUGAAAUCCUGUAAAAGAAUUAAAUGGAGUAAGAGUCAAUAAAUUUAACAUCUGACACAGUUGAGAGGACAUGCUAGAGUUGGAGCUACAGAGAUGUAAGACAAGAAAAUUUAUAGAAGGUCAAGGGGGAUUAUAAUGAGGAGAGAGUUUAGGGGAUAGAGGUCAAUGAGAGUAUGCCUUGUCUUAUACCCAAUCCAGAAGGGAAUGAGAGGAAAUUCCCAGCAUUUGUAAACAGAGUUGACGGCUAAAAUUGUGGUGGGGGACAGGAUGUAUUUAGUAUGAAAGAAGAAACAAAGCAUCUUGUGGACAACAUCAGCCACACAGGAGGGUCAUCGUUCCACUUGCCAUUAAACAAUAAACUAAGAAGAGUAGAAUCAUCAAGUUUAAAAGGUCAAAAUCAUUUCCUAUAUGGGCUGAAGUUGCAGGAUCAAUAGAAUGUUGUAGAGGGUGAAUUGGCAGCAUAUGAGUUGGUCAACAAUCUUAGAAUAAACAGUAAUGGCCAAUGAAAUGGAAUGGCAGCACAGUUGAUGGGAGAACAACCAACUACAGGACAAAUAAAAUUGAGGUGAGGGAAAGAUCUAUUUGGUAUGAAAGAAGAAGCAAAGUAUUUUGCAGGCAACUUCAGCAACAAAAGAGGGUGACAAGAUAAAAUAAAAGUGGAAAUUUGUCUUAUAAGGGCAGGUCCAGACAUCUUUAAAUUGUGUCAUUUUUAAACUUGAGAAACAUUGUAAAAAAAAUCUCUUAAAUACACUCGCAUUAUAUUGGAUCUGGCUCCAAAGUGUCUGGAAAAUUUCUCGUCAACUAUUUACAUAGAUAUCAAGUACAGCAGGAGUAGUCAGGCUAAAUGUAUGGACAAAAAGCAUGUGAGUGCAGGGAGACCGAACCACGCUCACACAUCAUUCAGUGCCAUAAAACAUUUUACAAGUUUGUACCAGUCUGAGAACAGGACUUACCUGAAACAGCUUUCGUCUCCAGAAAACUAUUAUCUGAACCUUAACCUUGCUUUACGAUGCAAACUGUAGAUUGUAAUUCACUUACAGUACAUCACUACUAAAUUAACUUUACAAUUCUUUUAAUGCUGGGUCCAACAGGACAAUUAUGUUUGCUAUUAAAGGAAUGUUCCAUUU